rnacentral:rRNA from 1 species
UGAGGAAUAUUGGUCAAUGGACGGAAGUCUGAUUCAGCCAUGCCGCGUGAGUGAAGAAGGCCUUCGGGUUGUAAAGCUCUUUCAGACGGAAAGAAAACUUCUGGGCUAAUACCCUGGGAGGAUGCCGGUACCGUAAGAAGAAGCACCGGCUAACUACGUGCCAGCAGCCGCGGUAAUACGUAGGGUGCGAGCGUUAAUCGGAAUUACUGGGCGUACAGCGUGCGCAGGCGGUGAUGUAAGACAGAUGUGAAAUCCCCGGACUCAACCUGGGAACUGCGUUUGUGACUGCAUCACUCGAGUACGGCAGAGGGAGGUGUAAUGCCGCGUUUAGCAGUGAAAUGCGUAGAGAUGAGGGGGAAAACCGAUGGCGAAGGCAGCCUCCUGGGCCAGUACUGACACUGAGGCACGAAAGCGGGGGGAGCAAA